GCGUCUCAAGGAGGAUUUCCUCACCAUCUAUGCAUCAUCCCCAUGUGUAGUAGUCAUUUUUACCUUGCUUCCCAUCUCCAUCCUAAAACAUCUUCUUAUUUGCUCUAUUGUUGUGAGGUUGCAGGUGUGCAGAGAAGGUGUUUGUGUAAAUGCCUAAUGGCAAAAACUGCUAUGGUGACGCCCUCACCCUCUACAUCGACCUCCCGAGCUCCAACCCCCUCAAAUUUGACCACCUCCAGUACCCAGCAUCGACAAUGACGUCAUCCUGCUCUAGCUCGCCUCCCCUUCAUGCUCUGGCACGGUCUGGUUUCUCCAGAUCGGUGGUAUGGUGGUGGUGGUGACCGUGUUGUGAUGGUGUUGCAACCUAGGUCAGGUUCGUCGUGGCCUCCCAUACCUCCACUCGGUGGUAGGCUGCGGCUAGCCCGGCCCCUACUUCGACUACGACGUCUCCCUGGACCAUGGCCUCGGUCGCCCAUCAAGGUGUUUAUAGAUGGAGAAGGAUCAUCUAAACAAUGAUGUACUAAAUUGGAGUCGGAGGUUCAGCUACAUUGAUACCCUUGCUGGAUAUGCGCCCACUAAUGAAGUUGUUGAUGCUCAAUCCAUGGAAAAGGAGCAAAGAGCAAAGCCAAAACAUGGAUUGGAUGGCAGACAUCCUCUCUUAGGAGAAGACCAAGAAAUACACACCUAGGGGAAAGAAGAGGAAAAAGGGGCGUAGGGAUAAUCUGGCAUAUUGAAGUGAGCAAGGCAGGUGAUGGCUACCGGUGCCGGGCGAGCUAGCGGGUGAGAGACCAGAGAGUAAAGGGAAGAAGGCGGCAUAUCAAAAGAUAGCGUGUGGCGAUGGCUGGCCCUCUUUGGCAUGGCUCUGAGCAUGAAAAGGAUGAAGGUGGGCUAGGAAACGAUGAGGAAUCGACAAGAAUUGGACUAUGUCCUGUUCGCUGCUGCGGCAGUUUUCAUUGAAUUUGUGGUUGUGUAUGCCUUCCAUGAGUGUAUGUGUUGUUGAUGUCUGCUGCUCGUCCGCAAGGUCAGCCCCCUUGGCCUCCUC